CUCCCCUGACGUCAGCGGCGGACGGGUGAGUAACACGUGGGCAACCUGCCUUACAGACUGGGAUAACUCCGGGAAACCGGGGCUAAUACCGGAUAAUCAAAGGAACCGCAUGGUUCCCUUGUAAAAGUUGGGUUUUACCUAACACUGUAAGAUGGGCCUGCGGCGCAUUAGCUAGUUGGUGAGGUAGUGGCUCACCAAGGCGACGAUGCGUAGCCGACCUGAGAGGGUGAUCGGCCACACUGGGACUGAGACACGGCCCAGACUCCUACGGGAGGCAGCAGUAGGGAAUCAUCCGCAAUGGGCGAAAGCCUGACGGUGCAACGCCGCGUGAGUGAUGACGGUCUUCGGAUUGUAAAGCUCUGUUGUCAGGGAAGAACAAGUGCCGUGCGAAUAGAGCGGCACCUUGACGGUACCUGACCAGAAAGCCCCGGCUAACUACGUGCCAGCAGCCGCGGUAAUACGUAGGGGGCAAGCGUUGUCCGGAAUUAUUGGGCGUAAAGCGCGCGCAGGCGGUUCUUUAAGUCUGAUGUGAAAGCCCACGGCUCAACCGUGGAGGGUCAUUGGAAACUGGGGAACUUGAGUGUAGGAGAGGAAAGUGGAAUACCAAGUGUAGCGGUGAAAUGCGUAGAUAUUUGGUGGAACACCAGUGGCGAAGGCGACUUUCUGGCCUACAACUGACGCUGAGGCGCGAAAGCGUGGGGAGCAAACAGGAUUAGAUACCCUGGUAGUCCACGCCGUAAACGAUGAGUGCUAGGUGUUAGGGGUUUCGAUACCCUUAGUGCCGAAGUUAACACAUUAAGCACUCCGCCUGGGGAGUACGGCCGCAAGGCUGAAACUCAAAGGAAUUGACGGGGGCCCGCACAAGCAGUGGAGCAUGUGGUUUAAUUCGAAGCAACGCGAAGAACCUUACCAGGUCUUGACAUCCUCUGACAACCCUAGAGAUAGGGCGUUCCCCUUCGGGGGACAGAGUGACAGGUGGUGCAUGGUUGUCGUCAGCUCGUGUCGUGAGAUGUUGGGUUAAGUCCCGCAACGAGCGCAACCCUUGACCUUAGUUGCCAGCAUUCAGUUGGGCACUCUAAGGUGACUGCCGGUGACAAACCGGAAGG
rnacentral:rRNA from 2 species